rnacentral:lncRNA from 1 species
GGGUCAGCAAACACGAAAGGGAAGGGGUCGCCAUAGUUGUUAAUUCAUUUUUUUCUGAUUCACAACGAUGCAAUAUAAGUUUCUAAAUUUCUGUCGAAGUGUCAAUCGUAGAUCGCGCAUAGUAAUGGUGUAAUGAUAGUACUCGUCAAGAUGUCAUAUACUUUGGUUUUGCUUUGCAUGAGACCAUUUCAGUUUAGUGUGAGGCCACCUUAAUUUUCCACUAUCCUCCGCCAUUGCUCCUAAAUAAUGUCUUGGAAUUUAGCAGCUCAUAAAAAUGGAUGGAUGUGAUAGUAAACGAAACAAGGGUGAUACUGUUGUAUCAGCAAUGGUGUUGAUAUGUAAGUACUCCAUCUGUUCUAAAUAUCUGUAUCUUUUCAGGAAAAAAAACUAUCUAACUUGUGUACUGUCAUGCAUGCCUUCUAAUUUGUCUUCUUAGUUUGCACAGAGAUUGAAGAAAAAAAUGAAGAAGAUACUAAAAGGCGCAUAGAUGAGUAACACAGAUGAAAAAUUCAUAUACCCAUCAAUCAUGACUUGGAUGAGAAAUAGUAAGAAAAUUCAAUGAAAAAAAAUCAGCACUGCCAACCAUCUGGAAAUGCCACCAGAGAUGAGAAAAAUUAGGAGGUAGAUGCACUAGAGGAGGAAGAGGAGCUCCAGUUUGAUCCCAUACUUUGUGUCAUAAUUCCAUAUUGAUAAGUUCUUGGACUCAAUGGUUCACUAUAUAAUUCUGGUUGAUGGACUUUGGGUAGUACAUUGGUGAAUAUACUUCAAAUCUUUACUAAUUAAGGUACAUUUUGGUUUGGUAUGUUCGCCUCCUUUACUAAAUGAGACC